rnacentral:rRNA from 1 species
CCCUUAGAUGUUCUGGGCCGCACGCGUGCUACACUGAGUAAUUCAAUGGGUAAGGGAACGCUAGAGCAUUACCUAAUCUUGAAAUUUGCUCGUGAUGGGGAUCGACGGUUGCAAUUUUCCGUCGUGAACGAGGAAUACCUUGUAGGCGCAUGUCAUCAUCAUGCGCCGAAUACGUCCCUGCCCUUUGUGCACACCGCCCGUCGCUCCUACCGAUUGAGUGAUCCGGUGAGGCUCUGGGACCUGGACGGAAAGAGCGUUUCGCUUGUUCUGUUUGGGAAACUUGGUCGAACCUUAUCAUUUAGAGGAAGGAGAAGUCGUAACA